AGCUUUGAACAGUGGCAGUAUUGUAGCCAACGAGGUUUAUCUGAGGUGUGAUUAUUGCUAAUUAAAAGCAGUCGCAUUAUUAG
rnacentral:snRNA from 1 species